CAAAUCAGAUUGAUUUGGUCUAGUCUGCUAAAAAUUUCAAUUUGUUCAGCUUGAUUCGAUUUUUCAAUUUUCUCCCUAAUUCAGUUUGGUUUGACCUGCUAAAAAUUUUGGUUUAUUUGGAUAUUUGAUUUUCCAAACUGAACCAACCGAUGCUCACCCCUAUUCAGUCAUGAGUACUAAUGACCUCUUCAAGCAACCUUGCUGCUGUACCUUGUAGCUGGUGCAUCCAUCUGAGAAUAACUUGAGAAACAUGAUGUGCUGAAGCUAACUCAGAGGAGAUAGGAUCAGCUGAACACCACAUGCAGAUGCUGGGGACAUUUUACACACUGCAAAUUUUACCGCCAUUGGAUAUGGGCUUUUGAUUCUGUGUGGCUUGAUGCCAGCAGCUUCCUGGGAGUAGAUACACUCGCCUCAUCUUCUCUAUAGCUUCUCAUAUUACAUGAAAAAGCUUUCCAUAUUCAAUUUGUCUACUGCAACUGUAAUAAAAUCUUUAUGGGCUAAUGAUGCUACAAAGCAAGAAACUACAAGAAACAAUUCAGGGAUUCUGUUGGAAGUGAUUCAGAUGUCCAAUUCAAUUC
rnacentral:misc_RNA from 1 species